rnacentral:lncRNA from 1 species
AGGUCGUUCUCCAGCCCGGAGGCUCGCAGAUCCACGCCCCGCGGCACCCGAGCCUCCCUGGCUUCCCCGCGGGCGGCGCCUUCCGCCCUCCGCCGCUGUGCCCAUCCCCUGCCCGCAGAGCGCCGCUUGCCCGGGCCGCUGUAGUCAGUUACCUGCUCCGCGGGGCGAACACGCGCGGGGGCAGACAGACACUCCAGCUUCGCAGGAGGCCGGCGCCCCUGCUCCGCAGGUGCAGAGAUUGUGGGCAGACUACGUAAUCGCUGCGGAGGGGGAAGAGGAGGGAUCUCCGGCGGCGGCGGCAGGGCGCGGAGACUCAGCUGGGCGGAGUUUCGCGGCUGCGCCCGGCUUGCGCCCGCGGGCGAGAAGGUCGGUCCGUCUAGCCCGGGGGCCCCCGAGGCGUGUAAGUCAGAGAGUACGCACCCCGGUUCCUCUGUGCCGCACCGACAGCCUGCAGCCAGCAAGGAGAAGGACAGCCUGGGUGGCGCCGAUCAGAGUACGAGUGCUUGGCAGAGAUCGGCGAAGGCCCCCGACCUGAAGAAUGGCGGCCGCUUCCUGAUUCCGAAGCGCCAGCGAGUACAGACCAGUGAGGAGGACUUGCGGCUCUCCACCGUCCGUGAGGUGGCGGUGCUGAGGCACCUGGAGACCUUAGAGCAACCCUACGUGGUCAGCCUGAAACCUGUUUGCUCAGGUUUCAGUGUUAGAGAGCAUUGGGGCGGAGCUUGCCGCCCUAUCAUCCUGCCACUCCCACUGCCUGCGUCCUAGCUGUUCCGGAGCCUUCGCGUGUUCACCUGCAACCUUACUCCACGAUGAUUUGGCGGGAAUCGGGCCCCUUCCCCUGCUUCAUAACUGAGUGUCGGAAUUAGUAAAAUCGAACCUUGAUCAGAAU